rnacentral:rRNA from 1 species
AUACGUAGGGGGCGAGCGUUGUCCGGAAUGAUUGGGCGUAAAGGGCGCGUAGGCGGCCUGUUAAGUCUGGAGUGAAAGUCCUGUUUUCAAGAUGGGAAUUGCUUUGGAUACUGAUGGGCUUGAGUGCAGGAGAGGUUAUCGGAAUUCCCGGUGUAGCGGUGAAAUGCGUAGAGAUCGGGAGGAACACCAGUGGCGAAGGCGGGUAACUGGACUGCAACUGACGCUGAGGCGCGAAAGUGUGGGGAGCAAACAGGAUUAGAUACCCUGGUAGUCCACACUGUAAACGAUGGAUGCUAGGUGUGGGGGGUAUCGACCCCCUCCGUGCCGGAGUUAACGCAAUAAGCAUCCCGCCUGGGGAGUACGGCCGCAAGGUUGAAACUCAAAUGAAUUGACGGGG